rnacentral:misc_RNA from 1 species
GAAAUGCGAUAAGUAGUGUGAAUUGCAGAAUUCAGUGAAUCAUCGAAUCUUUGAACGCACAUUGCGGCCAUAGGUAUUCCUUUGGCCAUGCCUGUUCGAGCGUCAUUUACACCCUCAAGCCCCGCUUGGUGUUGGGCGUCUGUCCCGCCGCGUCCGCGCGCGGACUCGCCUCAAAGUCAUUGGCGGCGGUCGCGCCGGCCCCCUCGCGCAGCACAUUUGCGCUUCUCGGGAGGCCUGGCCGAUCCGCGCUCCAGCAAGGACCUUUCUUAUGACUUGACCUCGGAUCAGGUAGGAGUACCCGCUGAACUUAA